GUUCGUCACUUCCGGCAGGCGCGAGGCGGAAGCGAAGAGCAGCUGCGGCAGGGGUUAGGGAGACCGCAGGUCAGAGUGGCCCCGGGGCAGAGGGGCCGGGGUCUGAGGUGCUUUCGCGGGGACGCGAGGUACCCGGGGGUGGCAGAGGCUUCCGAGGAAAGACUGCGCGCGACGGCGAGCCCCCGCCUCCUGCCCCGAGGCCGGCAUCCCUGGCGGGUCCCGAGGGGCCUGGUGCUAGGCUGGGCUGGGCCGGCCGGGGGCUGCUCGCGGGCCGCUUGCAGUUACCUCUUGGUCCUUCUGGACUGCCAGGAGGAAAUGGUUCUGGGGACGGUGCCUCCACCUUCCAGCACCGUCAGUUACAGUGUUACCAUAGUCGCCGUUAAGGCGGGAAACGAUGAACUCGGGCUCCUGGACCCCAAGCCACCCCGAGGAAUCGUCUGAGCAACCCGGGAUGAGGAAGAUGAUACAGUCACAAGUGGGACCUGGGAGCUGAGGGUCUUGCCCCAGAGCUUGCUGAGGAAGACAACGUGGAGAAACAGCCCAGAUUGUUCCAGACGGCUGAGAUGCAUAAAGUAGCACAGACUCAGUAGGGUGGCUGUUUCCCCUAGGAUGUCAAUCCACAGUGGUUUAAAUGACGUGCAAAUAAAAGAGGCAAUUU
ensembl:lncRNA